ACUUAUCUGCUGACACUCACAAAUGCUACACAGCCCUGAACACGUACCCACAAUUAAUGCUCUGUAACUGAGGAGCUCAGGAACUGUCACUGCAAACUCUACUGACAAAGGUCCAUGGAGGAAAUACAAGAUUUUGAAGAAAAAUUAUGGUGACUUCAGAAUGUUGUCUGCCAGUUGAUGAUGAUCUGCAUCAGGACUCUGCAAUUCUGGCUGAACAGACUUAGCACUGGACUGGCCCCCAACAUGGUGUGAAAAUACAGUUAUGGCUAAACACACACAGAGGCUCCCAGGAGAAAUACUCUCACAGGAACAGGCUCAAGCACUGAUUCAAGAUUCCCUCUCUGGGGACCUGGCACCUCCCAGAUUUGCUUGCAAGGCUGAAUAAACAAAAAUUGU